rnacentral:rRNA from 1 species
UGUAGGCGGGAUAAUAAGUCAGAUGUGAAAUACCGAGGCUUAACCUCGGGGCUGCAUCUGAAACUAUGUUUCUUGAGUGUCGGAGAGGAAAGUGGAAUUCCCAGUGUAGCGGUGAAAUGCGUAGAUAUUGGGAGGAACACCAGUGGCGAAGGCGACUUUCUGGACGAUAACUGACGCUGAGGCGCGAAAGGCGUGGGGAGCAAACAGGAUUAGAUACCCUGGUAGUCCACGCUGUAAACGAUGGAUACUAGGUGUAGGAGGUAUCGACCCCUUCUGUGCCGCAGUUAACACAAUAAGUAUCCCACCUGGGGAGUACGGCCGCAAGGUUGAA